GACGUAGGGGGCCAGCGUUGUUCGGAAUUACUGGGUGUAAAGGGUUCGUAGGCGGUGCGGCAAGUCGGGAGUGAAGUCUCUGGGCUCAACCCAGAGGCUGCUUCCGAAACUGCUGUGCUUGAGUGUGGGAGAGGCGCGUGGAAUUGCAGGUGUAGCGGUGAAAUGCGUAGAGAUCAGGAAGAACAUCGGUGGCGAAGGCGCUCUGCUGGACCAUAACUGACACUCAGGGACGAAAGCUAGGGGAGCGAAUGGG
rnacentral:rRNA from 1 species